rnacentral:rRNA from 1 species
GACGAACGCUGGCGGCGUGCCUAAUACAUGCAAGUCGAACGCUUCUUUCCUCCCGAGUGCUUGCACUCAAUUGGAAAGAGGAGUGGCGGACGGGUGAGUAACACGUGGGUAACCUACCCAUCAGAGGGGGAUAACACUUGGAAACAGGUGCUAAUACCGCAUAACAGUUUAUGCCGCAUGGCAUAAGAGUGAAAGGCGCUUUCGGGUGUCGCUGAUGGAUGGACCCGCGGUGCAUUAGCUAGUUGGUGAGGUAACGGCUCACCAAGGCCACGAUGCAUAGCCGACCUGAGAGGGGGAUCGGCCACACUGGGACUGAGACACGGCCCAGACUCCUACGGGAGGCAGCAGUAGGGAAUCUUCGGCAAUGGACGAAAGUCUGACCGAGCAACGCCGCGUGAGUGAAGAAGGUUUUCGGAUCGUAAAACUCUGUUGUUAGAGAAGAACAAGGACGUUAGUAACUGAACGUCCCCUGACGGUAUCUAACCAGAAAGCCACGGCUAACUACGUG